CAGAGGCUGGCAAUUAACCACUGAGCACUAUCUCGCUGCAACAGAGGCCCGGCAUCACAGGACAACCCAUUGGUUGCACAGAACACUGCUGGCCUUGGGGAGCUAACAGGAAGCAGCCAGAGAAACACACACUGUAACACAUUUGCAACCGGCUUGAACAGAGUGGGACUCUGGUGCACAUGCUUCAUGGGCCCAACAUGCAUGCAUGCAAUGAUCAUCUUUCAAGGAAAUGAAAGGGGCACCAUCCUGUAACACAUCUAUGGACCCUGCUGGCUGGAAAGGGAUUCUUUAAUAGCACGACUGAGCAUGUUGCUUCAGCUCAGACCCUCGAGGCUGUACAUUCCCAAAAGACUCGCCACGGGUGAAAUUAGACCAUCAGCCUAGUUUUACAGUUAUUGCCUUUGUUGUGAUCACAGAUUUAAUAUCGCACUUGGCAAUCACACCAUGCAAACAAACAUUUUGAAAAUUCAGAGAUGUUCUUUGCAAUGGAUGU